AUUGAACGCUGGCGGCAGGCUUAACACAUGCAAGUCGAGCGGGGGGAGGUAGCUUGCUACCGGACCUAGCGGCGGACGGGUGAGUAAUGCCUAGGAAUCUGCCUAUUAGUGGGGGACAACAUCUCGAAAGGGAUGCUAAUACCGCAUACGUCCUACGGGAGAAAGCAGGGGGUCUUCGGACCUUGCGCUAAUAGAUGAGCCUAAGUCGGAUUAGCUAGUUGGUGGGGUAAAGGCCUACCAAGGCGACGAUCUGUAGCGGGUCUGAGAGGAUGAUCCGCCACACUGGGACGGAGACACGGCCCAGACUCCUACGGGAGGCAGCAGUGGGGAAUAUUGGACAAUGGGGGGAACCCUGAUCCAGCCAUGCCGCGUGUGUGAAGAAGGCCUUAUGGUUGUAAAGCACUUUAAGCGAGGAGGAGGCUACUUUAGUUAAUACCUAGAGAUAGUGGACGUUACUCGCAGAAUAAGCACCGGCUAACUCUGUGCCAGCCGCCGCAGUAA
rnacentral:rRNA from 1 species